rnacentral:rRNA from 1 species
AUUGAACGCUGGCGGCAUGCUUUACACAUGCAAGUCGAACGGCAGCACGGGUGCUUGCACCUGGUGGCGAGUGGCGAACGGGUGAGUAAUGCAUCGGAACGUAUCCAAUAAUGGGGGAUAACGCAUCGAAAGGUGUGCUAAUACCGCAUACGCCCUGAGGGGGAAAGUGGGGGAUCGUAAGACCUCACGUUGAUGGAGCGGCCGAUGUCAGAUUAGCUAGUUGGUGAGGUAAAGGCUCACCAAGGCGACGAUCUGUAGCUGGUCUGAGAGGACGACCAGCCACACUGGAACUGAGACACGGUCCAGACUCCUACGGGAGUCAGCAGUGGGGAAUUUUGGACAAUGGGCGCAAGCCUGAUCCAGCCAUGCCGCGUGAGUGAAGAAGGCCUUCGGGUUGUAAAGCUCUUUCGCAAGGGAAGAAACGAUUCAGGAUAAUACCCUGGGUUAAUGACGGUACCUUGAUAAGAAGCACCGGCUAACUACGUGCCAGCCGCCGCGGUAA